ACAACCUUUCCCACUUGGACUUUCAAGGACUCAGAAAGCUAGUGCUAGAGAAAGAAGAUCAUGUCCUUGGGAAAGAUGGAGAAUGAGUUCGAAGUCAGGAAAGCCCGACUCUACAAGGGACUGAGAUGGAAGACCCAGACCCAGGGCGACCCGCACUCCCACUCACCUGGGAAUGAGCUCUGCCCCUCCACGGAGCAAGCUUCAAAGGUCUGCCUGUGUGGCUGCAGCUUGCGGACAAAAGCGGUCCUCCACCCCAGGCCGGAUCCAGUCCCUCUUCUAGUCUCUCGGGGGCCGUCCAGCUUGCCAUCAGAGAGGAAGACACUGGUUUCCAAGGAGACAGUCUUUCCAGCUCAGCUCUCCCACCACUCUCCGAAGGAAAAAGCUGAGGGCAAGUCCCAGCUGUUAUCUUGGCGGGAUCCGGUACCUCUGCGCCAGCUGGUGCCUAUGAGCGUGUGGCCCAAGGGCUUUAUUCAUCCACUCCCCAAACCUUUGCCAGGGCAAGCUCUGAGCACCUUUAUCCAUGUUGAAGGGGUUCACAUCCCUAGGGCAGUAUCUCCGGUGACAUCACUGGUGGAAGAUAACAAGUCUUCUAUGCCACCUUUACUAAAAUGAACGUGCCUGCUCAAUUAAUUGCUAUUUAUCUGUGUCUACUGUAAACACGCAAAACUGUCCAUUUUUAACUGAGAAUAUAUUUUUAUCCUCAAUGUGAACCCAGUUGGGACUUCCAGAAUACUGUAUCCCAGUGUAUCUUUCAAAAUAUAUUUUUAUUUUUAUUUGUGCAUGU